GGUGAUAUAGCUCAGUUGGUAGAGUGCUUGCCCAGCAUGCACAAGGCUCUGGGUUCAAUUCCUAGCACCACUG
rnacentral:tRNA from 1 species